GUUGUAUGGUUAAGUGACUAAGCGUACACGGUGGAUGCCUUGGCAGUCAGAGGCGAUGAAGGACGUAUUAACUUGCGAUAAGCCCAGAGAAGGUAGUAAAAACCGGUGACUCUGGGAUUUCCGAAUGGGGAAACCCACGUGCAUAAGCACGUAUCGUGUUGUGAAUACAUAGCAGCACGAGGCGAACCGGGGGAACUGAAACAUCUAAGUACCCCGAGGAAGAGAAAUCAACCGAGAUUCCGGUAGUAGCGGCGAGCGAAACCGGAUUAGCCCUUAAGCUAGUUUGAUGUUAGGUGAAGGUUCUGGAAAGUUCCGCGAUACAGGGUGAUAGCCCCGUAACCGACAACAUCUUAUCAGUGAAAACGAGUAGGACGGGACACGUGUUAUCUUGUCUGAAUAUGGGGGGACCAUCCUCCAAGGCUAAAUACUCCUGACUGACCGAUAGUGAACCAGUACCGUGAGGGAAAGGCGAAAAGAACCCCUGUGAGGGGAGUGAAAUAGAACCUGAAACCGUGUACGUACAAGCAGUAGGAGCCCACUUGUUGGGUGACUGCGUACCUUUUGUAUAAUGGGUCAGCGACUUAAUUUUAGUAGCAAGGUUAACCGUUUAGGGGAGCCGUAGGGAAACCGAGUCUUAACUGGGCGUCAUAGUUGCUAGGAUUAGACCCGAAACCGAGUGAUCUAGCCAUGGGCAGGUUGAAGGUGAGGUAACACUUACUGGAGGACCGAACCGACUAAUGUUGAAAAAUUAGCGGAUGACUUGUGGCUAGGGGUGAAAGGCCAAUCAAACUCGGAGAUAGCUGGUUCUCCCCGAAAGCUAUUUAGGUAGCGCCUCGGACGAAUACUACUGGGGGUAGAGCACUGUUAAGGCUAGGGGGUCAUCCCGACUUACCAACCCUUUGCAAACUCCGAAUACCAGUAAGUACUAUCCGGGAGACACACGGCGGGUGCUAACGUCCGUCGUGAAGAGGGAAACAACCCAGACCGCCAGCUAAGGUCCCAAAGUUAUAGCUAAGUGGGAAACGAUGUGGGAAGGCUCAGACAGCCAGGAUGUUGGCUUAGAAGCAGCCAUCAUUUAAAGAAAGCGUAAUAGCUCACUGGUCGAGUCGGCCUGCGCGGAAGAUUUAACGGGGCUAAGCUAUACACCGAAGCUGCGGCAAUG
rnacentral:rRNA from 1 species